UUUAACUAGAGGCCUGGUGGGAAACAGCAGAUCCUUCAACCACCAGGCCACAAGUGGCUAGUUGGAAGAUUAACGUGUUCGAUGAUACAUAUAUAAAACUAUCAGAAACCAAAAUAAUAAAAAAUCAAGGAGCUUGGGCUAGGGGUGGGCGGAUAGAGGCCCGCAUAAAAAAACAAACUCAUGGCCUGAGGCGGGUCGGACCCGAUCCGACUCCAAUGGACUAAAACAAAAUAGGCAGCACAUUGGAAACCCUAAAUCCAAACGAAGCCACCACCUCCCUUUCUGAACUUCUUCUUCACGAAUGCUCAGGAACAAAAGACAAUGGAAACUCUUCCAACCAUGGCGCUCACGAUCGGUCUCGCUCGUUUUCAUCUUCUGUUUUCUCUCACACUUCUUCCUUAAAAAACCGUGACUCCUUUAUGAUAACCUUUCUCUCUCGAAAAAAAAUAUACAGAAAUGACACAAAAAAAAAUGACCAACAGCCAUAAGUUGGGAACGAGAUUUGGAAACGAGAUUUGGGAAUGAGAUUUGGUAAUGAUAUUUGGGAAUGAGAUUUGGUUUUGGGAACGAUUUGGGAACGAGAUUUGGUAACGAGAUUUGGGAAUGAGAUUUGGUUUUGGGAACGAGAUGUGGUAACGAGAUUUGGUUUUGGUAACUGAUUUUGGUGUUACUCUAACAGAAAUGAAACUCUGAGGGAAGAAGGAAUUUGAAAAGUUGAAGGAUGAUGGAUAAGGAAUGGAUGCAAAGGCAUCAAAGUGGUCUGCUAUACUUUUGUCAUUCUAAUGAAACUGUAUUGUUGUAUUUUUCUGCACCUUUGAACUUGUCUUGUUGUGACCAAAACUUUGUUGUACAUUUCAUUACUUUUCUGCAGCA